GUGUGUGAUAAAAAGAGAAAAGAUAGAAUGAAAAAUAAAGUAAUUUGAAAAAGGUAAAUUUUGCACCAAUUGAGAACAUAUUGAAAGAAGAAUGAUUUAGAUGAUCUGGACAUGUGCAAUAUAGGUCAAGGGAUGCACUACUAUGAAGGAAUUAUUUUGUAUAUGUAGAAAUAAUGAGGGCUAGAAGUAGACCGAAAACACAUGAGAUGAAUUAGUAGGGAAUGACUUGAUAUAUUUACAUCUCGUAGAAGUUGUGGCCUUCAAUGGAGCAGAAUAGAGGAAAAGAAUUAAUUUGGCCGACCCCAAUUAUAUUGGGAUUGAGGCUUAUUUGAGUUGACUUUCAAGAUUUAUUUACCUAAAAAAUGUUUACCCCAUAAUUUGAGUAAUUUCAAUCGUAAUAUAUUCUAAAGUAUUAAAAAGUCUAAAACCUUCUUAUUUUAGGUUUACCUUAUAUAAUCUUUGGUAGACUUCACCAUUUGCAAUCAUCUCUCCAGUUAGUGAGUUGUAACCAAUUUAUU
rnacentral:lncRNA from 1 species